rnacentral:rRNA from 1 species
GACGGGACCGCACAAGCGGUGGAUGAUGUGGUUUAAUUCGAUGCAGCGCGAAAACCUUACCCACCUUUGACAUGGCAGGAAUCCUGAAGAGAUUUGGGAGUGCUCGAAAGAGAACCUGCACACAGGUGCUGCAUGGCUGUCGUCAGCUCGUGUCGUGAGAUGUUGGGUUAAGUCCCGCAACGAGCGCAACCCUUGCCAUUAGUUGCUACGAAAGGGCACUCUAAUGGGACUGCCGGUGACAAACCGGAGGAAGGUGGGGAUGACGUCAAGUCCUCAUGGCCCUUAUAGGUGGGGCUACACACGUCAUACAAUGGCCGGUACAGAGGGUAGCCAACCCGCGAGGGGGAGCCAAUCCCACAAAGCCGGUCGUAGUCCGGAUCGCAGUCUGCAACUCGACUGCGUGAAGUCGGAAUCGCUAGUAAUCGCGGAUCAGCAUGUCCGCGGUCGAAUACGUUCCCGGGCCUU